rnacentral:rRNA from 1 species
AUUGAACGCUGGCGGAAUGCUUUACACAUGCAAGUCGAACGGUAGAGGGGGCAACCCCUCGAGAGUGGCGAACGGGUGAGUAAUAUAUCGGAACGUGCCCAGUCGUGGGGGAUAACGUAGCGAAAGUUACGCUAAUACCGCAUACGAUCUAAGGAUGAAAGCGGGGGAUCGCAAGACCUCGCGCGAUUGGAGCGGCCGAUAUCAGAUUAGGUAGUUGGUGGGGUAAAGGCUCACCAAGCCAACGAUCUGUAGCUGGUCUGAGAGGACGACCAGCAACACUGGAGCUGAGACACGGUCCAGACUCCUACGGGAGGCAGCAGUGGGGAAGUUUGGACAAUGGACGCAAGUCUGAUCCAGCCAUUCCGCGUGCAGGAUGAAGGCCCUCGGGUUGUAAACUGCUUUUGUACGGAACGAAAAGGUCUCUCUUAAUACGGGGGGCUCAUGACGGUACCGUAAGAAUAAGCACCGGCUAACUACGUGCCAGCCGCCGCCGUAA